rnacentral:lncRNA from 10 species
GGGAAGUGGAGGGGGAGGGUCGAAAAGAGACAAAAAACAACAUUGAACUCAAGAUGGAAAAAAGACAGUAUUAGAGGAGGUUGCAGGAGCCCUGCUUCAGCCAGCUCAGGAGGAAAGUGAUCCAGAGAGAGGCCAUGUAAAGAGGUCAGUGCAAUGCAGUCUGCAGAUGAAAAGAGGCCAACUAACUGUCACCAACUCUCUCUUCUCUUUUCCUAAGGCCUGUGAUUUGGAGGGAAAUGUCCUCGCACUCAAACACAACCACCACGCAGCGCAGUUCCAUAGCCCCGCGGAGAGACAGGACAUUUUUCUGGAGCUGCUGGAGAGAACAGUCAGAGAAGCCUGGGGAGGAAGAGUUGAUGCCUUCUGGAGUUUCUUGUGGCGGGUGGUGGGUGGUGGGGGGAGCCCUUUCCGGGUGUCAACUUUUUCUUUCCUCUCUUCCCCCAGCUCCUGUUUUCAUCCUUACCAAUGAGAAUUCAGCUAAUUGUUUACUCCAGGCUUGUGCCUGUCACCAACUAACCCAGGAGGCCCUCAGAGCCAAGCCCUGCCCUUUGCCUCAUUCUUUGUAACUGGACACCUGCAAGAGUGCUGGGCACACAGUAGGUGCUCCAUAAAUGCUACUCAAAUGGAUAAGUAGGAUAAAUAAAUGCAGAGUUUGGUAGUUCAAGGUUGGGCGCAGUGGCUCACGCCUGUAAUCUCAGCACUUUGGGAGGCCAAGGCAGGCAGAUCGCCUGAGGUCAGGAGUUUGAGACCAGCCUGGCCAACAUGGUGAACCCCCCACUCUACUAAAAAUGCAAAAGUUAGCGGGUGUGGUGGGCACCUGUAAUCCCAGCUAUUUAGGAGGCUGAGGCAGGAGAAUCGCUUGAACCCGGGAGACGGAGGUUUCAGUGAGCCAGACUGCACCAUUGCACUCCAGCCUGGGCAACAAGAGUAAAACUCUGUCUCAAAAAAAAAAAGAAAAGAAAAAAGAGUUUGAUAGUGCAGAAGUGUGGCCUAUUGCCUGAGGCCCACAGGUGGUGCAGUGGGACCCAGGAAGGGUGAGAGAGAGACAGGAGCUUCCCCAUCC